UAUUCUGGUUGAUCCUGCCACUAGUCCUAUGCUUGUCUCACAGAUUAAGCCGUGCAUGUCUAAGUUUAAUCAAUAAACAGUGAAACUGCGAAUGGCUCAUUAGAUCAGUCAUAAUUUAUUUGAUGGUACCUUACUACAUGGAUAACUGUGGUAAUUCUACAGCUAAUACAUGCUGAAAAAUCCCGACUUCUGGAAGGGAUGUAUUUAUUAAAUCCAAAACCAAUGGCCUUCGGGUCCCUAUGGUGAAUCAUAUUAACUGCUCGAAUCGCAUGGCCUUGCGCCGGCGAUGCUUCAUUCAAAUAUCUGCCCUAUCAACUUUCGAUGGUAGGAUAGAGGCCUACCAUGGUGAUGACGGGUAACGGGGAAUAAGGGUUCGAUUCCGGAGAGAGGGCCUGAGAAACGGCCCUCAGGUCUAAGGACACGCAGCAGGCGCGCAAAUUAUCCCCUGGCAACACUUUGCCGAGAUAGUGACAAUAAAUAACAAUGCAGGGCUCUUACGGGUCUUGCAAUUGGAAUGAGUACAAUUUAAAUCCCUUAACGAGGAUCAAUUGGAGGGCAAGUCUGGUGCCAGCAGCCGCGGUAAUUCCAGCUCCAAUAGCGUAUAUUAAAAUUGUUGCCGUUAAAAAGCUCGUAGUCGAACUUCGGGCUCUGUCAGCCGGUCCGCCUUCUUGGUGUGUACUUGUUUGACGGAGCCUUACCUCCUGGUGAACGGCGAUGUCCUUUACUGGGUGUCGUCGCAAACCAGGACUUUUACUUUGAAAAAAUUAGAGUGUUCAAAGCAGGCCUUCGCCCGAAUACAUUAGCAUGGAAUAAUAAAAUAGGACGCGCGUUCCCAUUUUGUUGGUUUCUGAGAUCGCCGUAAUGAUUAAUAGGGAUAGUUGGGGGCAUUUGUAUUCCGUCGUCAGAGGUGAAAUUCUUGGAUCGCCGGAAGACAAACUACUGCGAAAGCAUUUGCCAAGGAUGUUUUCAUUGAUCAAGAACGAAGGAAGGGGGAUCGAAAACGAUUAGAUACCGUUGUAGUCUCUUCUGUAAACUAUGCCAAUUGGGGAUCGGUACAGGAUUUUUAAUGACUGUAUCGGCACCCGAAGAGAAAUCUUUAAAUGAGGUUCGGGGGGGAGUAUGGUCGCAAGGCUGAAACUUAAAGGAAUUGACGGAAGGGCACCACCAGGUGUGGAGCCUGCGGCUUAAUUUGACUCAACACGGGGAAACUCACCAGGUCCAGACACAAUAAGGAUUGACAGAUUGAUAGCUCUUUCUUGAUCUUGUGGUUGGUGGUGCAUGGCCGUUCUUAGUUGGUGGAGUGAUUUGUCUGGUUAAUUCCGAUAACGAACGAGACCUUAACCUGCUAAAUAGACCAGCCGGCUUUGGCUAGCUGCUGUCUUCUUAGAGGGACUAUCAGCGUUUAGCUGAUGGAAGUUUGAGGCAAUAACAGGUCUGUGAUGCCC
rnacentral:rRNA from 1 species